AUGCGCGGCCCGCGCGCGCACCUCAACUUCCCGAUCGAGAAAGUGCAGCGCCGCCUCGACCUGGAGCACGACAACGGUCAGUUCCUGGACGCCGCCGGCGCUGGCGAGGAUUCCACGGGCCGCGCGCGCCGAAAGAGGAGAAGGAGGAGCAGUGCCACCGCCGCCGAUCAUGCAAGAACCGUCGACGCCGAUUUCACGGCGGUGUACGGAAAUGGAUGCUCCGAUCAGAUGGUGUCAUUCGCCAGCUCGAGGAGGGAUAACGGGACGCCAACGGUGCAAGAUCGGCUCGUCAUGAGCGCUGACGUCGGAGGAGCUGUGAAUCGAGUGAUCGAGUUGGAGGAUAUUGGUGGCGAGUAUUGGGACUACUUGUUCCCGCGUCUGCUAUGA
rnacentral:rRNA from 1 species